rnacentral:rRNA from 1 species
GACGAACGCUGGCGGCGUGCUUAACACAUGCAAGUCGAGCGGUAAGGCCCUUUCGGGGGUACACGAGCGGCGAACGGGUGAGUAACACGUGGGUGACCUGCCCUCAGCUCUGGGAUAAGCCUGGGAAACUGGGUCUAAUACUGGAUAUGACUCCACGGUGCAUGUCGUGGGGUGGAAAGCCUUGUGCGGCUGAGGAUGGGCCCGCGGCCUAUCAGCUUGUUGGUGGGGUGANGGCCCACCAAGGCGACGACGGGUAGCCGGCCUGAGAGGGCGACCGGCCACACUGGGACUGAGACACGGCCCAGACUCCGUACGGGGGCAGCAGUGGGGAAUCUUGCGCAAUGGGCGAAAGCCUGACGCAGCGACGCCGCGUGAGGGAU